AGAACAACUGAGAGUGGCCUCUCGCGCUUUCCCCCAGUUCUCCCUUAAAAAUACUUGGGGGAAGAAAGUGCUUGACUACUCACAGUCCUGUGAUGACCUGUGGCGGAAGGUAAACCGAAGGUGACUGCGGUUAACGUCCUCGAUGGGAAUGGCCACCUUCAAGAAUUGAAAAAGAAGUUUAAGCACUGUUAUCAAUAUCAUCCAGCGUAACAGCUUUAUUCAACUGGAGCUAUCAGAGUUUCGCUCUUGUUGCCCAGGCUAGAGUGCAAUGGCUCGAUCUUGGCUCACCACAACCUCCGCCUCCCGCGUUCAAGCGAUUCUGCUGCCUCAGC
rnacentral:antisense_RNA from 1 species